GAUGAACGCUGGCGGCGUGCCUAAUACAUGCAAGUCGAGCGAACAGAUGAGGAGCUUGCUCCUCUGACGUUAGCGGCGGACGGGUGAGUAACACGUGGAUAACCUACCUAUAAGACUGGGAUAACUUCGGGAAACCGGAGCUAAUACCGGAUAAUAUAUUGAACCGCAUGGUUCAAUAGUGAAAGACGGUUUUGCUGUCACUUAUAGAUGGAUCCGCGCCGCAUUAGCUAGUUGGUAAGGUAACGGCUUACCAAGGCAACGAUGCGUAGCCGACCUGAGAGGGUGAUCGGCCACACUGGAACUGAGACACGGUCCAGACUCCUACGGGAGGCAGCAGUAGGGAAUCUUCCGCAAUGGGCGAAAGCCUGACGGAGCAACGCCGCGUGAGUGAUGAAGGUCUUCGGAUCGUAAAACGCUGUUAUUAGGGAUGAACAAAUGUGUAAGUAACUAUGCACGUCUUGACGGUACCUAAUCAGAAAGCCACGGCUAACUACGU
rnacentral:rRNA from 1 species